rnacentral:rRNA from 1 species
GAGAUUCCCCCAGUAGCGGCGAGCGAACGGGGAGCAGCCCAGAGUCUGAAUCAGCUUGUGUGUUAGUGGAACGGUCUGGAAAGUCCGACGGUACAGGGUGAUAGUCCCGUACACCAAAAUGCACAGGCUGUGAACUCGAAGAGUAGGGCGGGACACGUGGUAUCCUGUCUGAAUAUGGGGGGACCAUCCUCCAAGGCUAAAUACUCCUGACUGACCGAUAGUGAACCAGUACCGUGAGGGAAAGGCGAAAAGAACCCCGGCGAGGGGAGUGAAAAAGAACCUGAAACCGUGUACGUACAAGCAGUGGGAGCACCUUCGGGUGUGACUGCGUACCUUUUGUAUAAUGGGUCAGCGACUUAUAUUCUGUAGCAAGGUUAACCGUAUAGGGGAGCCGCAGGGAAACCGAGUCUUAACUGGGCGUUAAGUUGCAGGGUAUAGACCCGAAACCCGGUGAUCUAGCCAUGGGCAGGUUGAAGGUUGGGUAACACUAACUGGAGGACCGAACCGACUAAUGUUGAAAAAUUAGCGGAUGACUUGUGGCUGGGGGUGAAAGGCCAAUCAAACCGGGAGAUAGCUGGUUCUCCCCGAAAGCU